GCUGCUAAAAUAUUUGCUGCUAGUAUUAGUGGAGAGAAAUGGUGUGUCUGUGCAUAAGAUACCAGAAGAUGAUUAUUUAAGCAUUAAUGGAGAGCUAUGAGAAAGGAAGCUAUAAAGAGACAAACAAAAGAGGAAGAUUUCCGGGCUGCAAUGGACUUUGACAUCCAGACCAAUGGUCUUAUUUACAGAUGAAGACAGGUCAUAGGGAGAGGUCCCUUCUCCGGGUCUGGAUCCUACUUUCCUCUAAAAAAUGGGGGAGGUCAUGCUGACCAGGACUGAUGUCUCUGAAACUGGAUCUCGACCUUGAAGACAAGCCAGCUCAGUCUCCGGGUUUGGCCUCUGCCCCUGGGGUCCUAUGUAUAAUUCUUUCUUGGCCUCAUCUCCACCUGAUAACCAUUUUCCUCCUGGGAGCUCCCUUUGCCUCACAGUCAGAGCACAGCAAGUAUGAGUCACAUGGAUGCUAAGGAGCCAGAGCAAUAUACUAUCGUGCUAGGUACUCUCCAUUUUAAACAAAUAGCAGCACUGUUUAGGUUAACGUAUUAUUUCUCUUCUUUUUGAUAGAUCUACAGUCUUAUAUGAAGAACACUAGUGGUAGUUUAUGUUUUAGGUUUGAGGUAAAACUAUGAUGGGAUUGAUAUCACUCAAGGAUGCUAAUGGAAAUUUGUGUGUGUGUGUGUGUGUGUGUGUGUGUGUGUGUUCCAUAUUUUAGGAAAAUUUGUUUUUCAUUUGAAGAAAAAAGAAAGAAUUGUAGUGGAUGCAAACGGGGAAAGGGCGGUAGUGGCGGUUUGACUGGAGGACAGAGUCAGAUCCACUUGCCAGCUUUUCACACUUUGCUCCGUGCCCUGAGAUCUUGACUUUAUCAGCAGCAUUAAGUAGGUUGCCAGCUGGGCUUGGCCAGUGGGAAGCACUGGCAGGAGACUGGAAAAUGGAGGACAGAGAAAGGCUGAUGGAUUUAUUCCCCUGAUUGCCUCCCUGCUGGAGACAGGCUGUGUGUUUUUAUACCAAAGGUCAGGGUUCCUUCUGGAAAGCCCUCUCUCUGUGGGCUACAACUCACACUAAAGCUCUCAGGGGUUCCAGCAAGCCCUCUCCUGGCCCUUCCGAGUUUAGAGAUGCUAAUGACUUCCUGCUGUUGCUAGCCUUCUGGUACCCCACCAUCUCUUGUAGUUUCCCUAUAUCAUAUCACACCUUUGUAAAAAGCAAUUUCAUUGAGCUUGCUCUAAUACCCCUUUUGAGGGUCUUACCCCUUUCUUGCCAGGCCCUGGGCUGAAUUAAAGAAGGAGGGAGAUGGCAGCAAGAAACAAAACAAAUGGCUAACCUUUUUGCUGGGGAGACUAUUGGGGCACAGAUUACUCAAGGCAUGGGAUGGAAAGACUAAAGGCAAAGCACUGGAAGAUCAAGUGGCCACGGAGAUGGCAAUGAUGGUGGUGCAAAAACUGUGUGAUUUGGGAUGGCCACGUUUCCUAAUCCUGGAGAGCACACACAGAAAAAAUGGCAACUAUUAAACACUGAAUGCCCAAUUCAGGGCAUGGGUGGAUAAUCUGAAAAUAUCUAUCACAUUUUUAAAAAGAAUCCCUUAGAGCCUAUAGGCUCAGGGUGGAUGUGACUGAGAGCUAAACACAGAGCCUCACUGCAAAGUUGCGGUGUCAGUUACAUCACCAUUGGGUCUUCCGUGCUAAGCGAAGACAUGGACAAGAAGGGAGUGGGAAGCUAAGAUAUGUGGUAAGGACAUUUCAGCAGCAGAGGUGGUGCUGAGUACUUGGCUGAGCCCUCCUUGCCAGCAGGAGCAUUGCCACCCCCUGUUCUGAGGAUACCACACUCUCCCUGCGUAAAAAAACCUACUGAUGACUUCACUGUCCAGUUUAACUUUUCUAGUUGAUGACAAAAACCACUGAGGUCUUGGAGGAUGAAUGUGGAUUUUUGCUUAAUUAGGUGAUUAUAUCAUUUGCAGCCUGGCAUCUGAUAUGCAGAUACUGACUUAGAAAAAGCUUUUAUUCAGUUACUGUUAGCAAAGGUAAUCAAAAGCAGUUUACCUUUACAGGAAAGGAAGCACAGCAGUAUGCUAUUAUUUUCUAUCUUCUUUAUCUUUUAAAUUCUGACUAUGUAUUUAUUUGUUUACUUUUUAAUGUUUUUCAAUUACAGUUUUCAUUUAAUAUUUUGUAGUAGUAUCAGGUUGCUCAGCAUAGUGGUUAGACAAUCAUACACUUUCCAAAGUGAUCCCCAGUAUACCAUCAUUUUCAUAUUUCAGGGCUACACCACUCUCCUGUUUCCAGUCGAACUAGAAUACACCAGGAAAUACUUUAUCUCAGUAUCUCACAGAUUAUCACGCUGGUCCAUUACAUUGAUAGCAUUAUGCUAAUUGUACCUGGCGAGCAGGAAGAAGCAAGCACCCGACAUGCCUUAGAAAGACAUAUGUAUGCCAAAGGGUGGAAGACAAAUUUUGAGAAAAUUCAGAGGUCUGCACACCAGUGAGUUUCUGUGGAUCCAGCACUCUCAGGCAUGUUAAGAUACCCCUUUCUAAAAGUUACAACAAGUUAUUGUUCCUAACAUCUGCCAUCACAAAGAAAAGGCCUUUGGAUUUUGGAGGCAGCCUAUACCGUAUCUGAGCAUGCUUCUCUAACCCUUUGAACAAGGUAACACAUAAGGCAAACAGUUUUGAGUUGUGUCCAGAACAAGAAAAGACUCUAUAUUAGGUUCAGGGUUCAGGGCAAGUUGUCCUGCUUCCUGGGCCUUAUGACUUUAUAGGCCCAAUGGAAGCAUCUCUUCUUUGUUGAUUAAGGUAAAGCCAACCUGGAUAUACCCCUCUUCAUGCUAAUUAAUUAUUCCAAAAGAAAGUGUGUGUG